CGCACGGGUGAGUAACACGUAUCCAACCUGCCGUCUACUCUUGGACAGCCUUCUGAAAGGAAGAUUAAUACAAGAUGGCAUCAUGAGUCCGCAUGUUCACAUGAUUAAAGGUAUUCCGGUAGACGAUGGGGAUGCGUUCCAUUAGAUAGUAGGCGGGGUAACGGCCCACCUAGUCUUCGAUGGAUAGGGGUUCUGAGAGGAAGGUCCCCCACAUUGGAACUGAGACACGGUCCAAACUCCUACGGGAGGCAGCAUG
rnacentral:rRNA from 1 species